rnacentral:rRNA from 1 species
AGUGAACGCUGGCGGUAGGCCUAACACAUGCAAGUCGAACGGCAGCACAGUAAGAGCUUGCUCUUACGGGUGGCGAGUGGCGGACGGGUGAGGAAUACAUCGGAAUCUACUUUUUCGUGGGGGAUAACGUAGGGAAACUUACGCUAAUACCGCAUACGACCUACGGGUGAAAGCAGGGGAUCUUCGGACCUUGCGCGAUUGAAUGAGCCGAUGUCGGAUUAGCUAGUUGGCGGGGUAAAGGCCCACCAAGGCGACGAUCCGUAGCUGGUCUGAGAGGAUGAUCAGCCAAAAUGGAACUGAGACACGGUCCAGACUCCUACGGGAGGCAGCAGUGGGGAAUAUUGGACAAAGGGCGCAAGCCUGAUCCAGCCAUACCGCGUGGGUGAAGAAGGCCUUCGGGUUGUAAAGCCCUUUUGUUGGGAAAGAAAAGCAGCAGGUUAAUACCCCGCUGUUCUGACGGUACCCAAAGAAUAAGCACCGGCUAACUUCGUG